UAUUGAAAAAUAACCAGUUGGCAACCUGCAUGCUUUGAAGCUUGGGUACAGAUUACUUUAAGAAUGUUUAUUAACUCAGAGGGGCUGGGACUGGAAUCAAGCAGCAGAUUUUCCUUUGUCAUUGUGUUUGGUUUGGAGAGGGAGGUGGAAGGGGGAGGUCGUGUUUUCUGUCCUGCUCAAAUGUUCUUGUUAGUGAUAUUUUCUGCAUCAGCUUUCAAACUCUCCAGGGAGAUAAAGCAAGGAAAACCAUUAAUAACACGCGGAUUACCCUCUCCUGACAUAUGAGAUCACUGUUGUUCCAUGUCCGGGUCAGCUAAGAAGCGUUUAAUUGGCAGCAGAAAACUGAGAUGAAAUAUGCCCCCCACCCUGCGUUUUGUAAACUCUGCAUGCCCUCGCUAAGGCUGAAUGUAAUAAACAGGGCUGACCUUUGGGUAUUUGCAGAGAGCACUGAGACAGAAGGGGAAUUCUCAGGUGCUCAGUCUCCUAUGAAUGACCACACAUGGGGUGUUGUUAUAAUUAAGUCUGGCUUGGGGCACUGGAAGCCCUAAAGGAACUUUAAGGCUGAUCCUGCUUAUACAAAUGCUAGCUUGCAUGAAUCAUUGGCUUUUAUAGGAACCCGUUUAAACCUGGUUUAUUAUCCAGCUGUUUCCUGUGUGUGUAAAGCAUUGUGUUCCCUGCAAAAUUUGUUGUAAGUUACUAGGUCUGAAUGGUCAUUCUCAUCACCAUAAAGAUUCGAACAAAGAACCACAUGUGUGUUUUGAGAAAGUCACCCAAAAAAGAUAAUCAGCAACAGCUAAAUAAUUUCCAGAAAGAGGUCAGAUGUCAAAUGUGAUUUAUGGAAGCCCUGGGUGUAACUAGGUAGCAAAACUGCCUUACUGCUUUCACAUGCUGCCAGUUGCCAACUUAAUCUUGUUUGUUGGUGUCUGUUGCUUUUUGUACUUGCCUCUAAAAAUAACCACCACGUCGUCUCCUCAGGGAACCCUAGAAUCAGUUACCGCAGCUAGAAGACGACUGUAAUUAAUGUGCUAAAACUGGAUACAAAGGGCAUCUUGGUUUCUUCUGCCGGCAAGAAAAAAGGAAAGGCUGUUUCUGGAGAUCCGUGAGCCAAUGUUAGUAUUUGUUUGGGCGACAGUUUCACACGCAGGUCCCAGCAGAUAGCGACAGCCGCUGCUCCCAGAGUUUGACUGCCAAAGUCUAAUUUGAGACAACCUGAAAAGCCAAGAUGUGUUGAAGAAUGGUGACAACCAGGACUACAUCAGCUAGCACCCCUGAGAACAAAGCUUUCAGUGUGGUUGGUAAGAUUUGGAGAACUUCAAAAAGCUGGAGAAAAUGAAUCAGAAGCACAUGCUUUCACAUUGCAAACUUGGGCCCUUCUCUGCUACCCAUUUAUCCUGUGCAUUGCUAUCACUGCAUUGGAUAUGCUGUCUAUUUAAAGAACAGAGGUAAAUUUUGUGCAAUUUAGUGAGUCACAAUCACCUUUGCUUUAGUUUCAUAAGAGAAGUGAACAAGUGUUGUUUUUUAAAUCUAUUUCUGCCAUACAAGCUAGUUUCCAAACUCUUUGUCUAGAGUCAUAGCAAUUUUUUCUAAUCAAGGCUCAUGAGUUGUAUGGUAACUGAAUCCAAGUGCUGGUAUGCUUCUGUAGCUGAGUUCGGUGCUAAAAUGAUUUCUUGAAACAAGUUUACAGGCUGAAAAAUUUAGACUCCAUCCAAUACACCAUGCAGUUGACAUUUCAGUUUCAUUUUGGCUGCCAUCUGCU